CCCUCGCAAAAUCGUGCAACGCUACCUGUAUGGAUUGGUCUUUACCCGCCAACAGACAUGCCCAUGCACCGGGUCUGCACUUUCCGCCCCGUGCACCAGCAAGCAUCUACACUGCAUCGGCAUCAGGCUUGGUUUCGACGAUGAGAUCUUCGUCGUGAGCAACCUCACGAACACGUCCUCCCGAUGACUUCCUUCAUUUGAGGGAGAUGGGGGUUUCUUUGGUGAAUGAUGGCCCUGUGACGAUGCAAAUCGACUCACCCUCACCGCAAGAUGCUGCUCGGUCAUGGUACAUUGAAAUAUGGAGUGCACUGUACUGUAGGUAAAUUGGUUCCAAAUCUGUGCUCCCAGACAGUGAUGACUCGUUGCAUCCAAUGUACAAGGUGUGUCAGGCUUUCUACUAAGGCUGUUGGAGUUCAAGAUUAUUAUGGCUUGCUAAAAAGUAUAUUACUGUGGUAUGAUGGCCUCUGUCUGGUUUAGUAAUCUUUAUGUCAACUUCUGCAACAUAACAAUCGGGCCCAAGAAGCUGCUGAACAGGCAACACUUGCUCCUUCGAUUGGGUCAUCCAUCGAGGCAGCUACUGGCGUUGUGUAUAAUAUUACUCUGGUGGGAAGGACAUCACUUUGCAAGAAGUGAA